rnacentral:lncRNA from 1 species
CCUGGCUUGAUCUUAUUUCCCUGGCUCGCAAUUACAUCAGCCUGUGUCACUGGAAGCAGAAUGUGCAUGCAGUGUCUUUAGUCUGGAAUGUCUCUGUACUGGAAAGGCAUUAUUGCUUUAAUCAUCACCACACCCCUGGGAGGAAGCAAAGGUGGAAACUCUGACCAGCGUCCCAGCGUCACAGGCGAAGGGGUUCAGGAGACUGAGUGACUGGAUGCCUCUGUGCCCACAGACUGGAGGCAGCGCCAGCACCGGGGAGCUGGGUUCCAGUUUCGAGACACUGACCUGUGUUUCUGUGUGGAAUGUCCAACGACUCAGAUCGUUGACGACCCUGUGGCAUGCUGAAGUGUUAUAUCGACACAAAAUCGAUUUGAAUGGAGUUACAGAACCAGCCUGGGCUCCCUUAGGAUGUUCAUCGCCCACCGUGUCUGCUCCCUUGCUUCUGGCUCUGGCGAAGCUGACUUCCUGGAGAAGACAGUGGAUUCCCGAGGGAAUGAAUGUCCGCACCCGCUUCAACAUGCGCAAAGCAAAGGGCUGUGUCCUCCUGAGCUUGAGGGACCUCAGUGGGCAGACCCCGUGCGUUCCUUCCUUCCUGCAUCCGACCGGGGCCCAGCAAACACAGCCGAAGCAGCCCACCCGACGAGGCCGACGAGGGCUGAUGAGGGGCGUCAGGCCGCGGACCGAGGAAAUGGAGUUGGAGAGAAGGGGAAAGGUUCUAAGCCUUAUCGAAGACCAGACAACAGCAACACCGAUUCGGAAAUUGAAAAGGAAAGCCUGUACUGUGAAUUAUUUCAUACAGAAUGUUUUAUGCCAGUUCAGACGUUGGGAUUUAAUCUUUAAAGUGCUUAUGCAGCGAAACUGCUGACCCCACUGAUGGUUCGGGCUGCAUGAGGACUCACACGCCUCUGGAAAAGACGGCCUGAGCCGCGGAGUGAUUUGCAUCCAGAAGACACGAUGCUGAGAUGGAUGCAUUUUAUCUGCUCACCUGAAUAACGUACAGACAAGUGUUAGUCAUUUGUUUGUGAGUAUUUUCCAUUACCACUCAUCUCCCGACAUAUGGCGAACAUUUCUUCUUGUUUUCUUCUGUCGCCUCUUCACCGGGCUGCCAGAAACAGCUGGCAGGUCUUUGUACGUUUUUGCUGAUGACUUUUCUGAUGCUCUGGGUUUCUUCUUGUGAUUAGAGAGGAAAAUUAUUGAUUUACCAAAGACAUUAGUUCGUUGUGGCUGAGAUGCCCAAGAGUGUUUUUUAAGUGAAUAAUCGAUCACACUGCUGAUUUGACCUCAGAAAAUGAGCAUCUUAGGAAUUUCCAAGCAAAUGUCUAUGGAUAUAAGCGCCAUUCUGUACUCAGAGCAUCACGGGUGCCGGUUUUCUAAAUCGUGGUAUUACGCCUUCGUAGACUUGACGAUGUUCACAUUUCAUCAGAAAAAACAGAGCUAAAAAUUGUGUGCCCACAGUUAAUUGUAACAGGAACGUGAUAAAUCUGUAUAGCGCAGCCUUACUAAUUUCAGUUUAAUCUUAAUUUUAUGCAAUUUUUCUUAGUUUUUGAAAAAAAAUAAAAGCAAUUCUAAGUCUUUGAAAUUUAAGCA